UACGUAGGUGGCAAGCGUUGUCCGGAUUUACUGGGCGUAAAGAGCGCGCAGGCGGUCGUUCAAGUCGCGUGUGAAAGCCCCCGGCUCAACUGGGGAGGGUCACGCGAUACUGAUCGACUCGAAGGCAGGAGAGGGUAGUGGAAUUCCCGGUGUAGUGGUGAAAUGCGUAGAUAUCGAGAGGAACACCGGUGGCGAAGGCGGCCAACUGGACGAAUACUGACGCUGAGACACGAAAGCGUGGGGAGCAAACAGG
rnacentral:rRNA from 1 species